UCAGGUCAACAGACAGUCAGCUAAAGCUAUGGAAUGUAGGGAAGCCGCAUUGUUUGCGUUCUUUUAAGGGUCACAUCAAUGAGAAGAAUUUUGUUGGCUUGGCAUCUAAUGGAGACUAUAUUGCCUGUGGAAGUGAAAAUAAUUCACUCUACCUGUACUAUAAAGGCCUAUCAAAGACAUUGCUAACCUUCAAAUUUGACACUGUCAAAAGCGUCCUGGACAAAGACCGUAAGGAGGAUGACACAAAUGAAUUUGUCAGUGCUGUAUGCUGGAGGGCACUACCAGAUGGGGAGUCCAAUGUGUUGAUUGCUGCUAACAGUCAGGGUACAAUUAAGGUGAGUUUUAAAACAUUGACCAGUGAUAGCAGCAAGGUUACAGAAAAUUGGAAGAG